rnacentral:lncRNA from 1 species
UCCCAGUUCAAGAACCCCCAGGCAGAAAGAAUUCUGUCUUACUUGGGAGAGGUUGGGGGGGGGGGGUCAGUCUUUAUGUUCUAUGCAGGCCUUCAGUUGAUUGGAUGAGGCCCACCCACAUUAGAGAAGGCAGUUUGCUUUAUUCACUCUACUGAUUUAAAUGUUAAUCUCAUCCAAAAACGCCCUCACAGAAACACCCACAGUAAUGUUUGACUAAACAUCUGGGAACCCCAUGACCGAGGCUUCUGACUCCUCCAAAACAUAACUAAUAAUGGAGCCUUAUUGAUAACAUAGACAAUUAACACAUAUUUUGUCUAUGUAUUAUUUACUGUAUUCUUAUACUAAAAUAAGCUAGAUAAAAGAAAAUGUUAUUAAGAAAAUAGAUCUACUCUUCAUUAAGUGGAAGUGGAUUAUCAUAAAGUUUGUCAUGUAGAGUAGGCUGAGGAGGAGGAGGAGGAAGACAAGGGCUCCAUCUUGCUGAAGAGAAGGGCUCCAUCUUGCUGUUUCUGGGUGGCAGAGAUGGAACAGAUAGAGGAGCUGGAAGAGGAAGCAGAAGAGGAAGACACACUUUGUCAGCUGAAAGCGUGCGGUGGCUCACGCCUAUAAUCCCAGCACCUUGGGAGGCCAUGGCAGGAGGAUCACCUGAGAUCAGGAGUUCAAGACCAGCCUGGUGAAACCCCAUCUCUACAAAAAAUACAAAACUUAGCCGGGCAUGGUGGCAUGCACCUAUAACCCCAGCUACUAGGGAGGCUGAGACAGGAAAAUCGCUUGCACCCGGGAGGUGGAGGUUGCAGUGAGCCAAGAUCACACCACUGCACUGCAGCCUGGACAACAGAGCAAGACUCCAUCUCAAAUAAAUAAAUAAAUAAAUAAAUAAAUAAAUAAAUAAAUAAAUAAGAAUAGCAGGUUCCUGGUUGCGUAGCUUUCUGCAUAUGGCAGAGAAAACCAAUACCUUGGUAAGUCAAAUUUGCUGUGUUGUUCUGGAGUCACUUCUGGAAUCCCAGCCCUAGAGCUUGUGUCUCCAGCUUUUCUAAUGAUAUUGAAGUUCCAAAGACGCUUUCAACCCCAAGACCAGAAACACAUUUCUGAAGGAAAUCCUACUAUUCUUGAAUAGUUCCAUGGUGGCCAUUCUCUGCGGGCAAGCAUGACAGUGGAAACUGCUGCCAUUAAAUUGAGAUCCCUAAGUUCAAUCAGGAUGGGGGUUUCCUGGAGUGGCAGGGACGCCAUGAUCAACUAACUAAUUCCAAAGAACUCCGUGGAUCAAACCAUCUGUUUACUGCUUUGGCUCUGCUGUCCAUCACGAUAAUUAUGCCCACCUUGUCCUCUAGACUGAAGACAGAAAAAAACUCAUUUAAAAACACUGGUGGUUGCCAGAUGCUAGAGAAGAGUAAAUUUAACAGUGACUUAGGCAAAAUUAUAUGGUAAAGUGUUAAACAAAUAAUUUAGAAAAUAAAUUUAAAAGUUAGAAAAGAAAACAGUAAUUACUCAGAACUAACACAAUUUCAGUAAAAGUAAUCUAUGCUAAAGUGGUCUCAUUUGUGCUUUCAAUGAAUUUACCCAAUCAGGAAAGGAGUUAUAUAUUAUAUUAUAGUAUGAAGUUAUUCAUACAUUUCAUGUGAACAAACAGUGUGAUAGAAGAAACCUGGAUUUUAUUAAUAACAGUAUAGUGGCAAAUAAAGAACAACUCCAUUCUAAUUUGCACUGAUUAAUCUAUAUAUGAACUGCCAAGACAAGUGUUGAAUAUAAUAUUUUAAAAGAAGUGUUUACCAAACAGAAUAGUCUACAAAGAAGAGACAAGCUCGAUAAGGACUCUGGAUAAUGCAUCAUAUUUAAAAAUGAUUGUGCUCACUGGAGUUUUGUCUCUAAAUACAAAAAUAAAACUACUGUCACUACCUUUUAGGAGAGCACCUGCCUUUAUAGAAAGUGUGAAUAUGUGAACUAGGAAAUUAAUUUAUUUGGGAUACCUUCAAAGGAAUAUCUAGCAUCAAAUCUAUACAUUUCCAAGGAGAGAGGUUUGGGUGCAAUGUCCAGAAAAACCUUCUACUUGUUGCUGUUGCUCAGUAGUGGAAUUAACUGCUUUAGAAAGCAAGGAGUUCUGGGCUCUUGGAAUGUUCACACAGAAGCUGAUUUUCCAUCUGCUGUGCAUGCUCUGGUUGAGGGCAUUCCUGCAACCUCAACCAAAGGAGGCUAAACUACAUGACCUUUAAGAUCCUUUCUAAUCUCAGAUUCCGUGAAGAGUGCUCAGACAAUAUUAAAAAAGGAAAAGGAAUUUCUGAGAUGCAUGGGAACUCUACAAACUGGCUUCCUAAGAAGGUUUAAACAAAGGCUGAAU